GUGCUCGCUUCAGCAGCACAUAUACUAAAAUUGGAAUAUACAGAGAAGAUUAGCAUGGUCCCUAUGUAAGGAUAACAUAGAAAUUUGUGAAGCAUUCCAUAUUUUU
rnacentral:snRNA from 1 species